AAUAAAAAGAUCUACUUAAAACUAAAAGAUACAUUAUGUAGUAUUAUUGAAUGGUCAAUUAUAUGAUGUUGAUAUGUUGAUAAAGUUGAGCUAUGAUAAUAAUGAACAUAUUAAAUAAUUUAUUCUAAAAAUAAUGCCUUGAUAUAGAAAUUUAUUCUUGUAGAUAUAAGGUUAACAAGAUUGUCCGUGGGAAAUACCAGCGCGUAGACAAUCAGAGAAAUAUAAAGUCUAUGGAGAGAAAUGACUUUUCAAGUUGCAGAGUACACUUCAGGAGUUAAAGGUCGCAUGGACUUUGCUUUCAAGGCAAUUGCUUUUGAAUAUACCAAAGGUGGUAAUACAAAGACUAAUGGACCAGUCAAGGAUCCCCCAAUCAGUGC